rnacentral:tRNA from 1 species
GCCUUCGUGGUGUAAUGGUCAGCACACUUGGCGCGUGCUCCAGAGGUCCGUGGUUCGAGUCCCGGGGAGGGCA